ACGGCACCACUGCACGGAAGUUUGAGCACGAAGUGCGUAGUUGGUGUCGUGCUGGCGAGGCCGCCUGUUUCCUUGACUCUCGCCAGCUCCAGCCGCGAGGGAGGCGCUCCGAGAAGCCCACGAUGUGAUAAUGAAUUAGAAUUUUUGAUAGAAGAAGAAAAAAUGCUGGCAUGCAGAUAAUGAAAAAGUUCACAGUUUGUACAAAAUUUCCAUUUAAAAUUUUCAUCUAAUAUGUUACAGGUAAGUGGUUUGUUUUGUUUUGCCAAUAUGUAGAAUGGUAUAAUUUAUUUAUAUUUGUCCACAUACUAUAUUUUCUUAUAUAUAUGUGGUGAUAUACCUAGUGUUGAACCUCUUUCAUACAUGGGUUUUUUAACAUUUGUAAAAUUGUUAAAGUCCAUGUGACAACUGCAUCUGCUGUAAGGUUUACAAUUUCCA
rnacentral:lncRNA from 1 species